GUGGGGGAUAUUGCACAAUGGGGGGAACCCUGAUGCAGCGACGCCGCGUGAGUGAAGAAGUAUUUCGGUAUGUAAAGCUCUAUCAGCAGGGAAGAAGAAAGACGGUACCUGAGUAAGAAGCCCCGGCUAACUACGUGCCAGCAGCCGCGGUAAUACGUAGGGGGCAAGCGUUAUCCGGAUUUACUGGGUGUAAAGGGAGCGUAGACGGUAUGGCAAGUCUGAAGUGAAAGCCCCGGGCUCAACCUGGGAAUUGCUUUGGAAACUGUUAAACUAGAGUGCUGGAGAGGCAGGCGGAAUUCCUAGUGUAGCGGUGAAAUGCGUAGAUAUUAGGAGGAACACCAGUGGCGAAGGCGGCCUGCUGGACAGUAACUGACGUUGAGGCUCGAAAGCGUGGGGAGCAAACAGG
rnacentral:rRNA from 1 species